AUUGAACGCAGGCGGCAUGCCUUACACAUGCAAGUCGAACGGCAGCACGGGAGCAAUCCUGGUGGCGAGUGGCGAACGGGUGAGUAAUGUAUCGGAACGUGCCCAGUCGUGGGGGAUAACGUGGCGAAAGCUACGCUAAUACCGCAUACGAUCUAUGGAUGAAAGCGGGGGAUCGCAAGACCUCGCGCGAUUGGAGCGGCCGAUAUCAGAUUAGGUAGUUGGUGGGGUAAAGGCCCACCAAGCCUGCGAUCUGUAGCUGGUCUGAGAGGACGACCAGCCACACUGGAACGGAGACACGGUCCAGACUCCUACGGGAGGCAGCAGUGGGGAAUUUUGGACAAUGGGCGCAAGCCUGAUCCAGCAAUGCCGCGUGCAGGAUGAAGGCCUUCGGGUUGUAAACUGCUUUUGUACGGAACGAAACGGCUUUUUCUAAUACAGAGAGCUAAUGACGGUACUGUAAGAAUAAGCACCGGCUAACUACGUGCCAGCCGCCGCGGUAA
rnacentral:rRNA from 1 species